rnacentral:lncRNA from 1 species
UCUUUAUGUGUUGUAACUCUUGUAACAUAUAUAACUUACAUGCUAUUUUUUUUUUGGUAGUAAAAAACAUUCAUAAACUAGUAAAACAAGCAUAUUUUACAAGCCAUAGUUCAGUCAGGCCCCAAAAUGAAACAAGCAGGGAUAUGCCCGUUAGGAAAAGGUUUAACAUUCCUAAUGUAAGUAUUUCCUAAAAUAUUUCAUGACAUACACAGGAGGAACUGCAAAAAUCUUCAUGCUCCCAAAAGCUUUUCCUAUUGGUCCUUCCUUAGCAAGAGCAUCCACUACCGAAUUUUGUUUCCUGCAGCAAUGCAUCACCACUGGUCUCUCUAUUCUUCUCAGCACAGACCUGCGGGCAUUAAUGAUAGGGUUAUUAUGCAUAUUACCAUUUUAAGCCUAUUAAUUACCGCUUUAGAGUCUUGAUCUCCAGUGGAUAUGGAUGAUGUUGUUCCAGUAGGUUCAGACCUUCCAGGAGUGAAAUUAGUUCCAUCUGAUUGUUACUAGCAACAGGAAAGCCUUUACAGAAACCCAAAACCCAAUUCCCAUUAUUGUUCCUUAUUACUCUACCAAUGCCUCCAAUUCCUGGGUUCCCAAAAGAGUAGCCGUCAGUGUUGAGUUUGUAGAAAUCAAUUAGAGGCGGCUUCCACCUAAUAGAGAUAGGAGUAGUGGCUAAACCUCCAGGAUGGUGCAAGUUGUUGAGAUAAGUGAACUCGACUGCCUCCCCAUAAGAUUCUUCACAAAAAGAAAUGGUAUUAGUACUAUAGAAGAUGCCACUAUUUAUGUGCUUCCAUAUAUGCCAUAAACAGAAAACAAAGAGGACUUCAAGGCUAAUGAGGUGGUUCAAAGGCUUGUUCUUCUACCAACGCCAUAUAGUGCCCCAUCUGUCAUCUCCCAAAGGGUUUAUACUGGCGGGUAAGGGGAGGGUAUAUUUGCUGGAAAGGCUAUUCCAGAGCUAGAAAGCCCUAUGGCAUACCCAGAAGAUAUGCACAAUAUCUUCCAUGGGAUGGCUGCAAUAUGCAUAGCUAGUGUUUAUAGUUAGGCCCAACCUGUUUAGAGCACUGUUAUAGAGGAGUCUUUGGUGAAGAAAAAGUUUAAGAAAGAACCUGAUUUUGGGAUGGAUUUUAAGAUGCUAGAGCCAAUUUAAGUGGAUUCUAACAUUCAGAUCAUGGGGACUGUUGUGCUGGGAAUUAUAGAUAAACUUAUUAGCACUACUACAGCUGAAGAGACCAUUACCAGUGAGUUUCCAAAUGGUGUGGUCAUCGGUGCAUCUCACAGUUGGGAAAAGUAUUCUGGAUGGAGUGGAUAAUAUCAAGGUUUACUAGAUAGAAAAAAUACUCCACUUAUAUAAAGAGUGUUUUCUUCUUAGUGUUUUGAGAAAUGAGUUGUAGUAUAUUGUGAGAUAUGAAGAAAAAAGAUAAGUGUGGAAAUAUUGUAAUGUGUAGUAGUGAAAGAGAGAUUUGAAACAAAG